rnacentral:lncRNA from 1 species
UCCGGGUGGCAGCGGAGCAAGCUCUUCGAAGAUCCCACCAGGAUGGUAAACAGUUGGGCGACAGUCUAUCUGGUCGAAACAAACUCUCUCGCCGACCUGUCUCAAAGGAGUCGGAGACCGAUCAGACUCAUCAGUGUCGCCACGUUCGGAGCCAGUCGCAGUAUCGUCUUGAUCUCUCCCUCUAUCCUCACUUCCGCUCGCAUCACUGCUCCCGACCUCAA